rnacentral:rRNA from 1 species
UACGUAGGGUGCGAGCGUUUAAUCGGAAUUACUGGGCGUAAAGCGUGCGCAGGCGGUUCUGCAAGUCAGAUGUGAAAUCCCCGGGCUUAACCUGGGAACUGCGUUUUGAAACUACGGAGCUAGAGUGCGGCAGAGGGGGGGUGGAAUUCCACGUGUAGCAGUGAAAAUGCGUAGAUAUGUGGAGGAACACCGAUGGCGAAGGCAGCCCCCCUGGGGCCGACACUGACGCUCAGGCACGAAAAGCGUGGGGGAGCAAAACAGGG